UACGAGGGGUGCAAGCGUUAUUCGGAUUUACUGGGCGUAAAGGGUGUGUAGACGGUUUAUUAAGUCAGCUGUUAAAUACUUCGGCCUAACCGGAGUUCAGCGGUUGAAACUGAUAGACUAGAGGAUGGAAGAGAGAAGUGGAAUUCUCGGAGUAGCGGUAAAAUGCGUAGAUCUCGAGAGGAACACCGAUGGCGAAGGCAGCUUCUUGGUCCAUUCCUGACGUUCAAACACGAAAGCGUGGGGAGCAAACAGGAUUAGAUACCCCUGUA
rnacentral:rRNA from 1 species